rnacentral:misc_RNA from 1 species
AGAGAGAUGGUAUUUAGAGAACAUACGCCCAGCGGCCACUUUGUAGCUCUCAAACGAGUAGGCCUAUUCCGAUCUAUCUACACUCAGAUAAACAUACAGAACACCACAAUUACCCUGAUUUUGCCCAGCUACCACAAUUCUAUUUUAACAAAAGCACUGCUGUUUCUACAAACAGUAACAACAUACUAUGGUCCACAAAGUCCUUGAUAUUGCAUAGAUCAAGAGGCAUUCUCUGAAGAAGCGACCUUGUCUUUUCCAGACUCGAGAUUAAUGUUGACUUGAGAUUUAUCACCAGUUUCAUCCUGUUUCUGCUGAUUAUCAGUUUCCUUUGCUGUCAGGAAACGACCUCCACAUCCUCUAGCUCUUUUCAAUGCAUGCAAAUGUCGUGAUUCAUGCAAGUAAGGCUUCCUAGCUUUCAGAAGUUUCUUUUCUGACUCAGCUUUCGCGCGAGAUUGUCGACGCCUCAAGAUGCCAUGAUACUGUUUUGCAUUAACAAAAACAGGUUCGUCUAUCGCAUCUGAUGGCAAAGGAACACCCGCUUGUUGAAUUCCCAUUAGCUGAAUGUGAACCAUUGGUUGUGCUGGAUAAGGUUGUGGAGGAUAAGGU